rnacentral:rRNA from 1 species
UACGGGGGGGGCAAGCGUUGUUCGGAAUUACUGGGCGUAAAGGGCUCGUAGGCGGCCAACUAAGUCGGACGUGAAAUCCCUCGGCUUAACCGGGGAACUGCGUCUGAUACUGGAUGGCUUGAGUUUGGGAGAGGGAUGCGGAAUUCCAGGUGUAGCGGUGAAAUGCGUAGAUAUCUGGAGGAACACCGGUGGCGAAGGCGGCAUCCUGGACCAACACUGACGCUGAGGAGCGAAAGCCAGGGGA